rnacentral:rRNA from 1 species
UACGUAGGGUCCGAGCGUUGUCCGGAAUUAUUGGGCGUAAAGGGCUCGUAGGCGGUUUGUCGCGUCGGGAGUGAAAACUUACAGCUUAACUGUGAGCGUGCUUCCGAUACGGGCAGACUUGAGGUAUUCAGGGGGAGAACGGAAUUCCUGGUGUAGCGGUGAAAUGCGCAGAUAUCAGGAGGAACACCGGUGGCGAAGGCGGGGUCUCUGGGGGCCGAUACUGACGCUGAGGAGCGAAAGCGUGGGGAGCGAACAGG